rnacentral:tRNA from 1 species
GGGCCCGUAGCUUAGCCAGGAUAGAGCGCUGGCCUCCGGAUCUGAUAGAGAAAGCCAGAGGUCCCGGGUUCAAAUCCCGGCGGGCCCG